GCGGAUGUGGUGUAGCUGGUUAUCACUUGGCCUUGCCAAGGCCAUAACCCGGGUUCGAAUCCCGGCAUCCGCA
rnacentral:tRNA from 1 species